rnacentral:rRNA from 1 species
AGAGUUUGAUCCUGGCUCAGAUUGAACGCUGGCGGAAUGCUUUACACAUGCAAGUCGAGCGGCAGCGCGGGGGCAACCCUGGCGGCGAGCGGCGAACGGGUGAGUAACACAUCGGAACGUACCCAGUUGUGGGGGAUAGCCCGGCGAAAGCCGGAUUAAUACCGCAUACGACCUGAGGGUGAAAGUGGGGGAUCGCAAGACCUCACGCAGUUGGAGCGGCCGAUGGCGGAUUAGCUAGUUGGUGAGGUAAAGGCUCACCAAGGCGACGAUCCGUAGCUGGUCUGAGAGGACGACCAGUCACACUGGAACUGAGACACGGUCCAGACUCCUACGGGAGGCAGCAGUGGGGAAUUUUGGACAAUGGGGGCAACCCUGAUCCAGCCAUUCCGCGUGAGUGAAGAAGGCCUUCGGGUUGUAAAGCUCUUUCGGCAGGAACGAAACGGUGAGGGUUAAUACCUCUCAUCAAUGACGGUACCUGAAGAAUAAGCACCGGCUAACUUCGUGCCAGCAGCCGCGGUAAUACGAAGGGUGCAAGCGUUACUCGGAAUUACUGGGCGUAAAGCGUGCGUAGGUGGUUUGUUAAGUCAGAUGUGAAAGCCCCGGGCUCAACCUGGGAAUUGCAUUUGAUACUGGCGGACUAGAGUGCGGUAGAGGAGAGUGGAAUUCCCGGUGUAGCAGUGAAAUGCGUAGAGAUCGGGAGGAACAUCAGUUGCGAAGGCGGCUCUCUGGACCAGCACUGACACUGAGGCACGAAAGCGUGGGGAGCAAACAGGAUUAGAUACCCUGGUAGUCCACGCCCUAAACGAUGCGAACUAGGUGUUGGAGAAGGAGACUUCUUUAGUACCGUAGCUAACGCGUGAAGUUCGCCGCCUGGGGAGUACGGUCGCAAGAUUAAAACUCAAAGGAAUUGACGGGGACCCGCACAAGCGGUGGAGCGUGUGGUUUAAUUCGAUGAUACACGAAAAACCUUACCCAGGCUUGACAUAUAAGUGGUAGGGAUCUGAAAGGUGACCGACCCUUCGGGGAGCUUAUACAGGUGCUGCAUGGCUGUCGUCAGCUCGUGCCGUGAGGUGUCCGGUUAAGUCCGGUAACGAGCGCAACCCUCACUGUGUGUUACAAGUGUCACACGGAACUGCCGGUAUCAAGCCGGAGGAAGGUGGGGAUGACGUCAAGUCAGCAUGGCCUUUAUGCCUGGGGCUACACACACGCUACAAUGGCCAGUACAAUGGGUUGCAAGACCGCGAGGUGGAGCCAAUCCUCAAAGCUGGUCUCAGUUCAGAUUGUAGGCUGCAACUCACCUACAUGAAGUUGGAAUCGCUAGUAAUCGCGCAUCAGCAUGGCGCGGUGAAUACGUUCCCGGGCCUUGUACACACCGCCCGUCACAUCACGAGAGUCGGUUGCACCAGAAGCCGGUGGGCCAACCCGCAAGGGGGGCAGCUGUCGAAGGUGUGAUCGGGAUGGGGGAAGUCGAACAAGGUACC